rnacentral:rRNA from 1 species
AUGGAGAUCUGCCUGCGGGGCCUGACCAAGGAACCAACGCUGAAGCCGUUAGACGAGGACGUGCUCUGGAACCUGCAGUUUGCAGCCCUGUUUGUCACUUGCACAUCUAAAUUCGUACUUUGGAAUGAUGAUCAGAAAUUGCAACUGCUGAGAAAAAAUAUUGGCAAGCAUUACCAUUAUGAUCCUCCAUCGAUCAUCAUUGUUGAAGGAAUUUCUGUUUCUCUUCAUAUAGGAUACAGAUAUGUGAUUCUCAUGUGA